GGAGAAAUGACACAUUACAGCUAAGUUUGUUCAGAGUUUGCCCAGGCUCCAUUUCCUUCUUUCUGCAAACUACCUUUUGUUCCAUGGGACAAACCUAUGAAGGGUUUUUAAUUCCCUUCCCACAGCAUCACGAACUGCACGUCUCCCUGUCACCAUCAUGAGCUGGGGAGAGGGGAAUGAAGGAGAUAAAAUCUAGAGGAGGUGGGCAAGUUGUGAGGAGAUGGGAGACUGGGUGAGCUGCAAGCUGAACAGGAUAUGUAAAGGGAAGGGGACCCAGCAGGGUUGGGGUGGCAGAGGCUGGUAAGCAGAUGGGGUUGGUCAAGCUCAUAAUAAUAGUAAUAACACAUUGUGUGGCGAGAUCCCGCCUCCCCCAGGAAGAAAUAAAGACACAGGGCACCAAAUAUUAAGGUUAAUGGGCGAAAUAGGCCACAACUUUAUUGAUUACAGGAAUGAGUGGUAUUGGUUUAGGCAUUGGUUCUAAAGACUAGCCGGCUUCAGCCCGAUUGCAUGAAGACCGGCAAGGGUUAACCAGCAGUAGGGGGAGUCCUGCUGAGGCACGUCAACUAGGAGCUCCCCCGGGGUCACCGUUCGGGGGCGUGUUUCAGGCCCACACCUCCAUAGGUUUCGGACAGGGCAACGCCCCCCGGAGUCCUUUAUCGGACUACCCUUUGCUGUGGGGGGAGACGAUGGCGCUUCCUCCCCCCCCUCAAAUACUCUUAACCCUCUCUUACCAAUGCCUAACCGACAAUGCCGAAGUUGUGACGAGUUGCUACGAGGUAGGUGAAAAACCAAUUGGCUGAAAUUACCAAUUGGGAAAAAUUCCUACCAGGCCCCUUGCGGCGACCGACCGUAGUCCAUAGCAAGGUCCAGGUGUGGCGAAAAGAGGGGGAGCCUCGGCCGCGCCGGCCCUAAAUAGGCCAGGCCACGCCUCCCCCCUCAGCCAGCCUAUUGGCUGGCUGGCUGGAUGACGCGGCCAAGGAUUCCCCUGAUCUCGCGGGGGCUGGGAGUUGCCCCCCUGCACGUGGGGUGAGCGUGACGCCUGCAACCCCACCUCCUCCCAAGCUCGGAAGUGGCUUUGCCAUCAUUCCUCAAAUACAGAAGCUGAUUAAAAUGGUGACAUAACUUGGGGGUCAUGUGAUAGCUGUUACUUCGCAUACAAAUAAGUACAAUAAUGUGUUUAUUUACUGUUUCCCCCGCUCCACUCUUCCUGAGGUGGGGAAAUGUGUGCAACAUUCCUAUGAACCAGAGCUGGGUUUUAUUUGAAGUUGGGGGAAAGAGAUGUGUAAUCUUCCCUUUUGAAAUGAAUUGCAGAGGCACCAAGGUCUAUUUGAGCUGAACCUUGACACUGCUUUGAAGUGGCGCAAAGCAAAGUGGAACACAAACACACACCCAUUCCACUAGUUGGAAAUGAUACAGACUGUUUUGUGAUGAAUGGUACUGGCAAGCCAUUGACUCAAAAAAUGAGCAGCGGCUCCUGUGCUUUUUGAUGGCAAGGGAGGAGAGAGACUCAGUGUUUGCCAUCGGGGAUGGCUGUUUCCAGCUGCCUUUUUCUGACCUUCAAGUCCAAGAGCCGUCAGGUGGGAGCGGCCUCUAAAAGAAAUGUGAGGGGCGGGAGCAGUCGGUGAGGAGGGGUGCCACCACACAGCUGGCCAUGGAGUCACUGUCAUUUCCCAGGUGGAGGAUGAAGGAAGAAGAAGAAGAAGAAGAAGAAGAAGAAGAAGAAGAAGAAGAAGAAGAAGAAGAAGAAGAAGAAGAAGAAGAAGAAGAAGAAGAGGAGGAGGAGGAGGAGGAGGAGGAGUAGUUUGGAUUUGAUACCCCGCUUUAUCACUACCCGAAGGAGUCUCAAAGCAGCUAACAAUCUCCUUUCCCUUCCUCCCCCACAACAAACACUCUGUGAGGUGAGUGGGGCUGAGAGACUUCAGAGAAGUGUGACUAGCCCAAGGUCAGCAGCUGCAUGUGGAAGAGCAGGGAAGCGAACCCGGUUCACCAGAUUACGAGUCCACCACUCUUAACCACUACACCACACUGGCUCAGAAGCACCACCCAGAUACACCGGAGAGAGACUCUUUGUCAUCAGGGGCUGGCUGUUUCCACUUUCCUUGCCCUAUCCUCCAGCCAUGGGAGCUUGCAUAAAUGAGCUGCUUCCAGACAUACUCUGGGUAUAACGACCCCUGGUAACGAACCAGCUAACCAGCAGUAAGCAUACUCCCGUCAGUUCAAGAUAGCUUUAUUUACAGAAACAAACAUACAGAGCGGAGCUUCGCACUCCCUCUUAGUGGCAAUAGAUCUUCUAAUCUGAAUCAGAGUUCCGCCUCCAACAGGAAUGAUGCCAGAACCUCGUAUUUCUACCCAUCCCCUUCCGCUCCUCUUUGCUGCGAUCCCAGCAUCAAGACCUAGGACUGGGAUCUUGGACUGGCCCUUCCCCACUGUCAGUGGAUAGAGUUUCUGAGCCUCUCCUAUCCGUUUGCAGCCUCGCCUUGCCAUGGCCACCUUCCAACUCUCCCUCUUCAUCUGAACUAGGACCUUGUGAAGGGCAGGCUGUGGGCUGUCAACUUUGGAAUCUAGCUCUUCUCUCUCAUCAGAAAAGUCAGCCUGUGGACUGUUAGUUCUGAAGUUUAACCCUUCUGUUGGGUCCUGGGGGGGACAUGUUCCUGACACUGGGGGCUUUCUGGGCUUUGGGGUUGACUGCCUGCUGAGGGCCUAAAGGGCCCUGCCCUUGCCUCUUUCCACCUGGCUUGGGGCGGGGCCUGACAAGCUUCAUAAGGACUGCGGCUGCUGCUUAGCACCAAGGUCUCCUCUUUUAAAUUGUUUUUAAUUUUCAUCUGUGUUGUUUUAAAUGACACCAUCUUGGCUGUGAGCCCUGGAAGACCUGCACCCUGCCUUACUGGGCCUUUUCCCAUCUGACCUGGGAGAGCGGAGUGCUGACUGACUCCAGCUACAAAAGCUGAGGCUGUUGAACAGAUUCUUGGGCUGGAGUAUUAGUUACGGGGGUUUGAGAGAACUGUUGCUGUUAUUAUCUUUCGUUUUAGAUCUCAUGAUUUAUAUGGAAAAUGUUUCCAUUAGGUUGUGUACUUUUUGAUGUGAUUUAUUUAUUGUUGAUGACUUCUGUUACGUCUGUAAUUAUGGAAAUCUUGUCACGUUGUGUGCCGCCUUGAGCAUAGUUUCAACUAUGGAAAGGCGACAUACAAACAAAAUGAUGAUGAUUAUGAUGCAUAAAAAUGGGGGUGAUGCUGGGUAUUAAUGCCAGCAACAUUUUUGUUACUUUUUUAUUUGACGGUAUUGGGUAUUUUUUUUAAUCUAUUGAUGGGCUUUAUGCUCACAUGGAUGCUGAUGUAUGUUAAAUGAACUUAUAAUUUGGGAUUUUUUUAGUGUUAUGUUGUAGCAAUAUAAUGAUGUAGACUGUUUGUUGCUUAUGUGAACCAUUCUGACCAUACUUGUAGAAAACGUCGUAUGUGAAUAAAUUGAUUUUGACUAUAUCUAAUGUGUAUUUUGAGGAAUCAGAAUCCUGGGAAUGAACCUUGAACAUCAAGGAGUAAUUCUAAGAACAUCUUUGCUGGAAUCAAAAGGACUUGUUUAUUAAUUAGUCAGAUGAGCUCACAAAGAGACUGUUUCUAGGGAAAUCAUACAGUUCAGAGAAUUAGCCCAAAAAACCCACAACUUUACAUUCAUGGAAACAUCGUUCUGUGUAUGACAAAUACAAUAUUCCUAAUUGUUAAAUAGAGCAUUUUUAGUUUAUUGUGUGCAUCAAGGUUAAUAGUAUGUUGAUAUUAUGCUUCUUAAAUAUGUGGCAUAGGCAUUUUUAGUAUUAUUAUUUUUUAAAUAUUCCAUUUAACCUUGAAGGAGGAAAUACUAAUUAAAUACUUUAUCCCACGUCACUGAUUGUGUGUGUGUGUGUGUGUGUGUCCUACAAGCCUAUAUUUGUGUACUGAAAACACAAUGCUAACGUUAAAGAAUUUCCAUUCAGCUUAAUGGCAUGUCUUUCCUCUUCAGAGUUAUUAGGGCCAAAGUGGGCAAUCUGUUUGCCCAUACAGUAUUAGGUAGAUGGCAAGGACUUUGCACCAGUGGACAUGGCUGAGUCAGUGACAAGGCAAGCCUGGGCUGGUGGCCAAACAGUUCACACACAAUUAUCCUAACUCAUUCUUUCUCUCACGCAGCUACUACUAUGCUUCAAGAUCCACUGUCCUGUGAUAUCAUAUAUGAGUUUGCACUACUGAUGAAGCCCAGGACAGUGAAACAAGGCUAAUAUUCCAGAAAUCCUUGUCUUAGACUCUGUGAAAGGAUUCUGUGGAACUGCAACAACCUUUCGUGUGGAUUGUUGGACUCUAUGAACAGACAGGUGGA